GCCGGAGUGGCUCAGUCGGUUAAGCAUCUGACUUCGGCUCAGGUCAUGAUCUCGUGGUCCGUGGGUUCGAGCCCCACGUCAGGCU
rnacentral:tRNA from 1 species